GUACUCGCUUCGGCAGCACAUAUACUAAAAUUGGUAUGAUACAGAGAUUUGCAUGGUCCCUGAGCAAGGAUGACACGCAAAUUCAUAAAGCGUUCCAUAUUUUU